AUGAGUGAUCAGGAGGGCGAGAUCAUGGAGAUCGACGACCUCCUCUCCGAGAUCCUGCUCCGCCUCCCGCCGGAGCCGUGCUCCCUCCCGCGCGCCUCCCUCGUCUCCACGCGCUGGCGCCGCCUCUCCCGUGACCCCGCCCUCCUCCGUCGCUUCCGCGCCCGCCACCGCCGCCACGCGCCCCUCCUCGGCGCCUUCUUCACCGACUACUCCGCCAGCACCAACCGCCACAGCCACAUCUCCUUCGCCCCUACGCUCGAUCCCCCCAACCGGGUCCGCUUCUCCUUCCCGGUCUUCGAGUACCCUUGCAUGGUCCUCGGCUGCCGCCACGGCCUCCUCCUUGCCUCCUUCUAUUACCAGCCCGGGCUCCUGGUCUGGGACCCCGUCACAGGCGACCAGCACCGCCUCGAUCAUCUUCAUCCUCCUGGAGGGUUCAAGUUCAAGACGAUGAACGGGGCGGUGCUUCGUAGUACCCAAGAAGACAUCCAUUUCAAGGUGGUCAUGGUAGGCCACGACGAGCAGCAUACACAAGUCAUCGCCAGCGUCUACUCGUCGCAGACCCGUGAAUGGGGCAGUGUCAUCUCCGCACCCAUUCCACCCACUGUUUCUGUAGUCACGGCGGUUCCAAGUGUCCUCAUCGGGGAUUCCCUUUACUGGUCGUCUUCUAGGAAUCCGGCUCAUCCGACCACCGUUCUUGAGUUCAAUCUGGGCACUAAGAGCCUAGCUGUGAUAGACGUGCCGGUGAAUAUGUACGCCCACGGCAAUCGAAGCUUCUCGGUUAUGCGGGCAGAGGAUGGCGGGCUUGGUUUCCUCUUUCUGUCGGGCCACAAUGCACAACUAUGGAAGAGGAACACGGACGGCGAUGGCGUUGCUUCAUGGGCGAUCACAAAAACUAUUCAAUUGGACAAGCUACUUUCCCUGAAUACGAAUACAGAGGAGGAGGAGGAGGACGAGGAGGAAAGGAGCCUGUCGAUUGAAGGGCUUGCUGAAAACACUAAUGUGUUGUUCUUGAGAACAUCUAUCGGUCGCUUUAUGGUGCAUCUUGACUCACUAUGGUCAUUGAGGUGCAAGGAACUUUCCCAAGCCGGGGUCACACAUGUGCUUCACCCAUUCACAAGUGUUUACACGGCUGCAGAUAACAACACACUUUCACCAUACAGGUACAAAAAUCUAAGCCAUUUUCUAUAUAUAAUUGGUUGA
rnacentral:rRNA from 1 species